rnacentral:misc_RNA from 1 species
AUGUGAUUGUUUUCCUUUUCCUUUAGUGAAUGUACCAUCCAACAACCGUCCCUCCAAUAUGUAUAGAAUACUUCACGGAUAUGUGAAACUUUCCAAGCAUCAGCACCUAGUUUGUCUGGACGCAACGUCAUGAUAAAUUCAUCAGGCAUGUCAAAGAAUUCAAGAACCUUCAGAUUUAGGAGGCACUCUAUUCCAGUUGGCACGGUCUCAAGCAAAGCACAUCGCUGGAUAACCAGCUUCUCAAGAUGAGGUACUGCACCUUCCCCGAUUGUCACCUGCCUUAGUCCUUCCAACAUGUCAAAAUUUAAAAGCUUAAGCCUUUGAAACUUGCCUUGCUCAAAGUACAGUUCCCUUCCGGUGUAUCCUACAAGAAAUUCAAGAUGGACAAGAUUGGGCAAAUCUUGGAGAUAUUUCAGUGGAUCUUCUGAUAAAUGAGUCCACCUGAAGUAAAUUUUGACUAAGGAAUUAAGAUCUUGAAUCCACGCAGGCAACUUAACAAUGUGUCCUGUCAAAUACAGGCGCUGAAGAAGAGGCGGAGGAGAUGCCAUGUAAGAAAGAUCAAGUAUCUCAUGCUCUUCCACCGAUUUAAGAUUUAAAGACUCCAGCUUGCGGAGCUUUUGAAUUGAUGAGCACA